ACGCUGGCGGAAUGCUUUACACAUGCAAGUCGAACGGCAGCACGGGAGCUUGCUCCUGGUGGCGAGUGGCGAACGGGUGAGUAACACAUCGGAACAUGCCUAGUCGUGGGGGAUACCGUAGCGAAAGUUACGUUAAUACCGCAUACGUCCUGAGGGAGAAAGCAGGGGAUCGAUCACUGAGCGCAUUGACGCAGUCAAUAAAGCUGCUUAGUGCAUUGAGUGAUCGACCUUGCGCGAUUAGAGUGGCCGAUGGCUGAUUAGCUAGUUGGUGGGGUAAAGGCCUACCAAGGCGACGAUCAGUAGCGGGUCUGAGAGGAUGAUCCGCCACACUGGAACUGAGACACGGUCCAGACUCCUACGGGAGGCAGCAGUGGGGAAUUUUGGACAAUGGGGGCAACCCUGAUCCAGCCAUUCCGCGUGAGUGAAGAAGGCCUUCGGGUUGUAAAGCUCUUUCAGCGGGAACGAAACGGCAGUUUCUAACAUAGGCUGCUAAUGACGGUACCCGCAGAAGAAGCACCGGCUAACUACGUGCCAGCAGCCGCGGUAAUACGUAGGGUGCGAGCGUUAAUCGGAAUUACUGGGCGUAAAGCGUGCGCAGGCGGAUUGUUAAGCAAGAUGUGAAAUCCCCGGGCUUAACCUGGGAAUGGCAUUUUGAACUGGCAAUCUAGAGUGUGUCAGAGGGGGGUAGAAUUCCACGUGUAGCAGUGAAAUGCGUAGAGAUGUGGAGGAAUACCGAUGGCGAAGGCAGCCCCCUGGGAUAACACUGACGCUCAUGUACGAAAGCGUGGGUAGCAAACAGGAUUAGAUACCCUGGUAGUCCACGCCCUAAACGAUGUCAACUGGUUGUUGGGAGAGUGAAAUCUCUUAGUAACGAAGCUAACGCGUGAAGUUGACCGCCUGGGGAGUACGGUCGCAAGAUUAAAACUCAAAGGAAUUGACGGGGACCCGCACAAGCGGUGGAUGAUGUGGAUUAAUUCGAUGCAACGCGAAAAACCUUACCUACCCUUGACAUGUCCGGAAUCCUGCAGAGAUGCGGGAGUGCUCGAAAGAGAACCGGAACACAGGUGCUGCAUGGCUGUCGUCAGCUCGUGUCGUGAGAUGUUGGGUUAAGUCCCGCAACGAGCGCAACCCUUAUCAUUAGUUGCUACGCAAGGGCACUCUAAUGAGACUGCCGGUGACAAACCGGAGGAAGGUGGGGAUGACGUCAAGUCCUCAUGGCCCUUAUGGGUAGGGCUUCACACGUCAUACAAUGGUCGGUACAGAGGGUUGCCAAGCCGCGAGGUGGAGCCAAUCCCAGAAAGCCGAUCGUAGUCCGGAUUGUUCUCUGCAACUCGAGAGCAUGAAGUCGGAAUCGCUAGUAAUCGCGGAUCAGCAUGUCGCGGUGAAUACGUUCCCGGGUCUUGUACACACCGCCCGUCACACCAUGGGAGUGGAAUCUGCCAGAAGUAGGUAGCCUAACCGCAAGGGGGGCGCUUACCACGGUGGGUUUC
rnacentral:rRNA from 1 species